AGCGAACGCUGGCGGCAGGCCUAACACAUGCAAGUCGAACGAACCCUUCGGGGUCAGUGGCGGACGGGUGAGUAACACGUGGGAACGUGCCUUUAGGUUCGGAAUAACUCAGGGAAACUUGUGCUAAUACCGAAUGUGCCCUUCGGGGGAAAGAUUUAUCGCCUUUAGAGCGGCCCGCGUCUGAUUAGCUAGUUGGUGAGGUAAAGGCUCACCAAGGCUACGAUCAGUAGCUGGUCUGAGAGGAUGGCCAGCCACAUUGGGACUGAGACACGGCCCAAACUCCUACGGGAGGCAGCAGUGGGGAAUCUUGCGCAAUGGGCGAAAGCCUGACGCAGCCAUGCCGCGUGGAUGAUGAAGGUCUUAGGAUUGUAAAAUCCUUUCACCGGUGAAGAUAAUGACUGUAGCCGGAGAAGAAGCCCCGGCUAACUUCGUGCCAGCCGCCGCGGUAACAC
rnacentral:rRNA from 1 species